UACGUAGGGAGCAAGCGUUGUCCGGAAUCAUUGGGCGUAAAGCGCGCGUAGGUGGCCCGGUAAGUCCGCUCUGAAAGCCCCGGGCUCAACCUGGGAAUUGCAUUUGAGACUGCGUAGCUAGGGUGCGGAAGAGGGAAGCGGAAUUUCCGGUGUAGCGGUGAAAUGCGUAGAUAUCGGAAGGAACACCAGUGGCGAAAGCGGCUUCCUGGUCCAGCACCGACGUUCAGGCACGAAAGCGUGGGGAGCAAACAGG
rnacentral:rRNA from 1 species